rnacentral:rRNA from 1 species
CACUCCUGCGGGAGGCAGCAGUGGGGAAUAUUGCACAAUGGGCGCAAGCCUGAUGCAGCGACGCCGCGUGGGGGAUGAAGGCCUUCGGGUUGUAAACUCCUUUCGCUAGGGACGAAGCUUUUUUGUGACGGUACCUAGAUAAGAAGCACCGGCUAACUACGUGCCAGCAGCCGCGGUAAUACGUAGGGUGCGAGCGUUGUCCGGAAUUACUGGGCGUAAAGGGCUCGUAGGUGGUUUGUCGCGUCGUCUGUGAAAUUCUGGGGCUUAACUCCGGGCGUGCAGGCGAUACGGGCAUAACUUGAGUGCUGUAGGGGUAACUGGAAUUCCUGGUGUAGCGGUGAAAUGCGCAGAUAUCAGGAGGAACACCGAUGGCGAAGGCAGGUUACUGGGCAGUUACUGACGCUGAGGAGCGAAAGCAUGGGUAGCGAACAGGAUUAGAUACCCGUGUAGUCCC